AAAGUUUGAGUAGCAAAAGGAAUUAGAGACUCCUGUAGUUCAAACCUUCACCGAUGAAAUUUUUUUUUUAACGAAAAAUAGUUAACACAAAAUUUUCUGCCUGAACAGUACGGUCGCAAGGCUGAAAUUUAAAGAAUUAGAUGAGAAAAAAUAUAAUUCGUGGAUUAUGUUACUUAAUUCGAAACAACGCGCGAAUCUUACCAAUGUUUGCA
rnacentral:rRNA from 12 species